rnacentral:rRNA from 1 species
GCAUGGAGAGUUCAUUAAAGAGAGCAAUUUUGGUUACAGACGAGCAUGCGCUCCAUUAGCCAGUUGGCGGGGUAACGGCCCACCAAAGCGACGAUGGAUAGGGGUUCUGAGAGGAAGGUCCCCCACAUUGGAACUGAGACACGGUCCAAACUCCUACGGGAGGCAGCAGUGAGGAAUAUUGGUCAAUGGUCGGCAGACUGAACCAGCCAAGUCGCGUGAGGGAAGACGGCCCUACGGGUUGUAAACCUCUUUUGUCGGAGAGUAAAGUACGCUACGCGUAGCGUAUUGCAAGUAUCCGAAGAAAAAGCAUCGGCUAACUCCGUGCCAGCAGCCGCGGUAAUACGGAGGAUGCGAGCGUUAUCCGGAUUUAUUGGGUUUAAAGGGUGCGUAGGCGGCACGCCAAGUCAGCGGUGAAAUUUCCGGGCUCAACCCGGAGUGUGCCGUUGAAACUGGCGAGCUAGAGUGCACAAGAGGCAGGCGGAAUGCGUGGUGUAGCGGUGAAAUGCAUAGAUAUCACGCAGAACCCCGAUUGCGAAGGCAGCCUGCUAGGGUGCGACAGACGCUGAGGCACGAAAGCGUGGGUAUCGAACAGGAUUAGAUACCCUGGUAGUCCACGCAGUAAACGAUGAAUACUAACUGUUUGCGAUACAAUGUAAGCGGUA